rnacentral:rRNA from 1 species
AAGGUCAGUAUUAAUAGUGAUAAGUGUUAAUUUUUAUAUUAAUUAAAGUAAUUUUAUUUAUGUUAGUUUUAGUAUAGUUUAUAGAAAGAAUAAGCAGAUUAAUAGCGGAGUAGUAUUGUGAGAGAAUUAUGAAAUAGAUGAAAAAAAUUAUUUAUAGGAAAGUAAAUUGAUGAUUGUACCUUGUGUAUCAGGGUUUAUUAAAAAUAUUGUAGGGAUUUAUAUUUCUCGAGUUAAAAAGAGCUAAUAUAAUAUGUAAGUUAAUGUAAUAUAUUUAUUUAAAAUAUUAUGUUGGUAAUGAAAUGUUAAUCGUUUUUUAAGAUAUCUAGUUUUCUAAGAAAUGAAUUUAAUUCAGUUUAGUUAUUAGUAAUUAUUUAAAUUGAAUAAAUAAUUAUGUAAUCUAGAUAAUAAUUUGGGGGAUAAGCUUUGAAUUGGGUACUAUAAUUGAUAUUGGUGAAUUUAAAAUUGUAGGCUUUAAAUUAGCCAGCAAUUUAAUAAUGUUAUAAGUUAUUUUAUAAGAUUAUGAUUUUAUAAAAAAUUUAGUUUGUGAAUUAGAAUGAUUUAAUGGAUUAUAAGUUAUUUGUAAUAAUGAUAAAAUUAGUAUAAUUGAAUGUAUAAUAUAUUUUUUAUUUAAUUUAUAUUAAGGAAUUAGGCAAAAAUAAUGUCCGCCUGUUUAACAAAAACAUGUCUUUUAGUGAGAAUUUAAAGUCGGGCCUGCCCACUGAUAUAAUUGAAGGGCCGCGGUAUUUUGACCGUGCAAAGGUAGCAUAAUCAUUAGUUUUUUAAUUGAAGGCUAGAAUGAAUGGUUUGACGAGAUAUUAGCUGUCUCAAUAUAAGAAGUAGAAUUUAACUUUUAAGUUAAAAGGCUUAAAUAAAAAUGGAGGACGAGAAGACCCUAUAGAGCUUUAUAUAUUAAAUAAUUAUUUAUUGUAGGAUAUUAUGAAUAAUUAUAAAAAUAUAUUGUGUUGGGGUGACAUAAAGAUUUAAAUAACUCUUUAUUAAAAGUUACAUUGAUUUAUGAAUAAUUGAUCCAUUAUUAUUGAUUAUAAGAUAAAGUUACCUUAGGGAUAACAGCGUAAUUUUUUUUGAGAGUUCGUAUCAACAAAAAAGAUUGCGACCUCGAUGUUGGAUUAAGGAAUAUAGUUAGGUGUAGAAGUUUAAGUUAUAGGUCUGUUCGACCUUUAAAUCCUUACAUGAUCUGAGUUCAAACCGGUGUAAGCCAGGUUGGUUUCUAUCCUCAUUUUAUUAAAUUAUCUUAGUACGAAAGGACCAGAUAAUUGAAAUAGUUUUGUAAUGGUGAUUAUUAA